rnacentral:lncRNA from 1 species
GGGAGCUAAGCUAUUAGGACACAAAGGCCUAAGAAUGAUACAAUGGACUUUGGGGACUCGAGGGAAAGGGUGGGAGCGGGGUGAGGGAUAAAACACUACACAUUGAGUACAGCGUCCACUGCCUGGGUGAUACGUGGACCAGAAUCUCAGAAACCACCACUAAAGGACACAUCCAAGUAACCAAACACCACUUGUUCCCCCUAAAACUUAUCAAAAUAAAAAUCAAUUUUAAAAAAUCAGCAGAAAAUAUUUUAAGCUACACAGAUGUUUUACCUACAAACAUUUGUUUCACUUAUGUCCCGGACAGGACCUACCACCCCUGAAAGCCUUGCGAGACCAGUAGCCACUGAGCAGGUGGGUGUGGGAUUCCUGGCCUGGUGAGCCUCCCCUGUCCCUGCCCCAGGUGCCUGACUCGAACCUGGAUCUCAUGGGGCUGGCCAGGGAGAUGGGUACCUGGGCAAGGGAGGCAGUGGGAUGCCACAGGACAAUUGUGCCCAGGGAACAGAACAUCUCACAGGACUUAUGACCUUCGAAGCACCUUCCCGGGGGCUGUGUGGCCAGGACAAGCCCCAGGAACAGAACAUCUCACAGGACUUAUGACCUCUGAAGCACCUGCCCGGGGGCUGU